UCAGAGCUUUGUUAUACAGGCUUCAAACCCAGUCAGGAUUUCAGCUUACCGCUACACCAAAAGCAAAUUGCGGCCUGCACAAUACAUUUUUAAGGUCACAUGCGUAGAAUGCACCUGGCACCAAAUGCAGAAACAUCAAGCAAACUGGACUGCAUUCGCGUUGUCUGCAACGUCCGCAGCAAAUCAAUGUGUUGGGUGACUUUUGUUGGAUGUGGUUUUGGUCGAUUGGGAAAGUUCACAUCAUGACUGGAGAUUGCAUUUUGGUUGACUUGGAAAGCAUUAUGGUCCCAAUAUUUAGUAUGGAUAAAGAAUUUCGGUGAUGGGAGAGGUGAUUUCCAAAGCCUAGAAAAUGGCAAAGGGGUGGAAGAACACAAAAAGAGGGCAACUCAUGGCAGUCCACACCUUUUCGCGAUUGGUUAAAAGCCAAUACUAGAGGAACCCUCCAGCAGAUUGCUCCUGGUUCUUCUUGCUAAGAAAUGCUGAACAGUUGGAGUUCAAAGAGGCAGGCUAAAACGGGGCAAGGGAGGAAAUGAGAUUUCUGGUGGAAUUUAUGUGCCUCUGAUCAUUCAUCAAUAUUUUUUAAAUGUUGCAUACAAAAUGUAUUGGUACUCAUAUUUGGUUCAUAUAAGGCAAAUUAGUAUUCAGGAAUCAGUGAAGUCAGCAAAACACAAAAAGAGUGCAUUCAAAGACGAUACAUCGCCAACACUGUGAACAGUAACACCAAAUUUUAAAACUGGCCUAUUGCCUUUUUAAAGUUCUGGUUAAAUGUGUUUAUUUUUCUAUUUUCAAUAAACAUAAUACCAAAU